UAUGCGAAAGAGAAGAGGCCGAUCGUGUAUCAUCAAAUUGCGUAGGGGUUGAGAGAGUCAUGUCGCAGGAGAGAUGGCACGCGUGCACCGCAGUAUUGUCAACUCGGAUAUAUAUAUGCCGGGGGUCGGUGGUGACAGAGCCAUGGUGUGCGCCAUCCUCCUGUGACAUGAUUCCCUUGCAAACCUCGACGCCCGUUGUCAUGUGCCUACAAGAGCCAACGGUCGUCCUGCAAAUACUAUUCCUCGCGCUAUGUCUCAACUUUAAGCCUGGUGGGAUAGAAUUCUACGAACGCGAGCUGAAAACCUACCAUGGGGCCAUGAGAUUUUUUUCGACGUGCGUCACCAAGUAUCCGAAAAUUCAAUGGGUCCCGACUAAUUAAGGGUUCAAGCUGGAUCGGCUCAAUGAGAGGUAAAACUCUUCAAAAUCAUGAAUUUUCUCUAUUUAUAUGGCUCAAAUCACAAAUCUUGUUCAACGGAAACAAGUAUCGGAUCGGUGACUUUAACCAGUCCAACUUUGGAUUUUCACCCAAAGUUUCGAUGGAUUGGAGUAGGCGGUCCAGGUGCUAUGAAUCAAAUACUUUUGGACUUAAGCCCAACCCACCACUCCAUGCAAGUAUAUCAAACAUUUUUGGACAUAUAGCACAAGUUGGGUUCACACUACGUAAAGGAUGCAAUUGAUGUGUGGUUUGGCAGCAAUGCGGAUAAAAAGAAAAAUUUACUGGAAUAAGAUUGCUAUAUAUAUAUAUAUAUAUAUUUCCUUUGAUAUGAAUUAAAGUAUUUGGAGACACUAAUUUGACCCCAAACUGAAACAGAAAGAAAAAUAAACAUCGAAGGGCCGUUGAUGGCACAAUAUCGAUGGUAGAAGGUCGCUAUUACAGCAGAUCAUACGUGGGAGAGACAUUGAUACCAAUUACUACACUGAAUUAAAUUAAUUGAUCGACAACUUUAUAUCAGUAGAUGAAAGGUUUUAUUUCAUAUAGCUGGAAUAUAGUAAAAUGUGACGACAUAUAUCAUUUUGAGACGUAUGGCAAGCGACAUAAGGCAAUUGCAUGAGAAUAUCGAUCGAGGUAGAAAAAAAGGCUAUCCACGAGACAAGUGAAGAUGAAAUUACACAGACAACCGAGCAUUAUUGACAAGAAUAUUGCAGAAUAACUAACUAACUAGACAUUCCUGAUCAAUUCUUUACUCGAAUCUUCUAUUCCGAUCGAUCUGCAGUUGCACCAUGAUACUGGCAAACCAUAACAUGAGAAAUGCAGUAAAAUUUCUAAUGGAAAACCCUAUCCGGGAAGAACUAAAGAAUGAACGGAUAAAUGCGUUCAUUUGAUGAACCAAAUUCCACACCGAUCUGCGUGUACUUAUUAAUUUUCUGUCGAAAGACAUCUGCUGGUUUAUACUUCUAUGCAGCUGAUGCGCAGUAUGUAUAGUAUCCAGGGACUGUCAAUUAUGAUGAAAUUGCAGAAAAUGACAUGAAUCUAUCCAUCUACUCUAUCCCUUGAAAGCUUGAUCGAUAACUUGGGUGAAAGUUUGCACUUUGUAGCCAAUCCUUGUUACUGCCUCUGAACACGGUGUAAUUCGUGUGACCAUGAAAUCGUACGUCUUUUCCAUGGGCGCAAUGGUUCAUCAUCAUGGUGCUUAGUUUCCACUAAUAUCAGAGUACGUAGUUUCCAUUAAUGGACGCGAUGGUUCAUCUUCAUGGUUCGCAAUUUUUUUCUCUAACGCUCUUGGAAGUUGUUGGGCGACCGCGUACCUUUGGUCACUCUGGACGAGAGGACUUUGAUUGCCAAGAUUGCUUUCGGAGUAUCAUGGCCGUUCAUCGAUCACCGGAUCAAGAUUGGAACGGUGGGUCCGUUCAUUGACCAUCGAAGCCUCAAGAUUGCGACGAGAGGCUGCGGCAUCUGCUUGAUUCACAAUGUCACGACCAUGAGUGUACACCCAAAAAUUCGAAGGCAAGGAUAGAGGGUGAUAUCGAUGAUCAUGAUCGUCCGGUUGCUCAGACGAUCUCCUAAAGGAAGCGAUCCAGGAGUUGAUCGCCUUCAGCUCUUGCUCAGCCCUGGCCACCUGCUGCUGGAGUUUUAUUAAAGUCCCAUAGCACCCGUAAACCGAGUCCUCGGCACGCCCGUUCACCUCAUAUAUAAUGGAGGUCAUGGUGUCUAUUAGGGAGAGAAUCGAGGGAUAUGAUAUAGAGGAAAUCAAUUAGGGAUAUCAAAGAAUAUUUGAUAUUUAUGAUAUUGUGUAAUCUUUGAUAUAUUUCAACAAUUGUUGCAUUCCAUCUACUAUAAAUAAGAAUACAUUCACACCAUUUGGUGUGUGUGACAUUCUAGCAAAUUCUCUAUAUUCUUUAUGGUA